GAUGAACGCUGGCGGCGCGCCUAAUACAUGCAAGUCGAGCGAACGGACGAGAAGCUUGCUUCUCUGAUGUUAGCGGCGGACGGGUGAGUAACACGUGGAUAACCUACCUAUAAGACUGGGAUAACUUCGGGAAACCGGAGCUAAUACCGGAUAAUAUUUUGAACCGCAUGGUUCAAAAGUGAAAGACGGUCUUGCUGUCACUUAUAGAUGGAUCCGCGCUGCAUUAGCUAGUUGGUAAGGUAACGGCUUACCAAGGCAACGAUGCAUAGCCGACCUGAGAGGGUGAUCGGCCACACUGGAACUGAGACACGGUCCAGACUCCUACGGGAGGCAGCAGUAGGGAAUCUUCCGCAAUGGGCGAAAGCCUGACGGAGCAACGCCGCGUGAGUGAUGAAGGUCUUCGGAUCGUAAAACUCUGUUAUUAGGGAAGAACAUAUGUGUAAGUAACUGUGCACAUCUUGACGGUACCUAAUCAGAAAGCCACGGCUAACUACGUGCCAGCAGCCGCGGUAAUACGUAGGUGGCAAGCGUUAUCCGGAAUUAUUGGGCGUAAAGCGCGCGUAGGCGGUUUUUUAAGUCUGAUGUGAAAGCCCACGGCUCAACCGUGGAGGGUCAUUGGAAACUGGAAAACUUGAGUGCAGAAGAGGAAAGUGGAAUUCCAUGUGUAGCGGUGAAAUGCGCAGAGAUAUGGAGGAACACCAGUGGCGAAGGCGACUUUCUGGUCUGUAACUGACGCUGAUGUGCGAAAGCGUGGGGAUCAAACAGGAUUAGAUACCCUGGUAGUCCACGCCGUAAACGAUGAGUGCUAAGUGUUAGGGGGUUUCCGCCCCUUAGUGCUGCAGCUAACGCAUUAAGCACUCCGCCUGGGGAGUACGACCGCAAGGUUGAAACUCAAAGGAAUUGACGGGGACCCGCACAAGCGGUGGAGCAUGUGGUUUAAUUCGAAGCAACGCGAAGAACCUUACCAAAUCUUGACAUCCUUUGACAACUCUAGAGAUAGAGCCUUCCCCUUCGGGGGACAAAGUGACAGGUGGUGCAUGGUUGUCGUCAGCUCGUGUCGUGAGAUGUUGGGUUAAGUCCCGCAACGAGCGCAACCCUUAAGCUUAGUUGCCAUCAUUAAGUUGGGCACUCUAAGUUGACUGCCGGUGACAAACCGGAGGAAGGUGGGGAUGACGUCAAAUCAUCAUGCCCCUUAUGAUUUGGGCUACACACGUGCUACAAUGGACAAUACAAAGGGCAGCGAAACCGCGAGGUCAAGCAAAUCCCAUAAAGUUGUUCUCAGUUCGGAUUGUAGUCUGCAACUCGACUACAUGAAGCUGGAAUCGCUAGUAAUCGUAGAUCAGCAUGCUACGGUGAAUACGUUCCCGGGUCU
rnacentral:rRNA from 1 species